UAUCCAACCUGCCGAUGACUCGGGGAUAGCCUUUCGAAAGAAAGAUUAAUACCCGAUGGCAUAGUUCUUCCGCAUGGUAGAACUAUUAAAGAAUUUCGGUCAUCGAUGGGGAUGCGUUCCAUUAGGUUGUUGGCGGGGUAACGGCCCACCAAGCCUUCGAUGGAUAGGGGUUCUGAGAGGAAGGUCCCCCACAUUGGAACUGAGACACGGUCCAAACUCCUACGGGAGGCAGCAUG
rnacentral:rRNA from 1 species